rnacentral:tRNA from 1 species
CACCCUAUAGUGUAGUGGACAGCACAAGAUACUUUCAAUAUCUAAUCGGAGGGUUCAAUUCCCCCUAGGGUGACCA